CCUACGGGAGGCAGCAGUAGGGAAUUUUCGUCAAUGGGCGCAAGCCUGAACGAGCGAUGCCGCGUGAGUGAAGAAGGCCUUCGGGUCGUAAAGCUCUGUUGCGGGGGAAAAAAGGCAGCAUAAGGAAAUGGGUGCUGACUGAUGGUGCCCUGCCAGAAAGUCACGGCUAACUACGUGCCAACAGCCGCGGUAGUACGUAGGGGGCGAGCGUGAUCCGGAAUGGUGGGGCGAAAGGGGUGCGCAGGCGGUCCUGCAAGUCUGGAGUGAAACGCAUGAGCUAAACUCAUGCAUGGCUUUUGAAACGGGAGGACUGGAGAGCAGGAGAGGGCGGUGGAACUCCAUGUGUAGCGGUAAAAUGCGUAGAUAUAUGGAAGAACACCAGUGGCGAAGGCGGCCGCCUGGCCUGUUGCUGACGCUGAGGCACGAAAGCGUGGGGAGCAAAUAGGAUUAGAUACCCGUGUAGUC
rnacentral:rRNA from 1 species